rnacentral:lncRNA from 1 species
UAUAGUGAGGCAGCCUGAUAAAUGCCGCAUCCGCCAUUUGUUCGAAAGUUGGCUUGCUGACCUCUAAUUCUCACUGCUGCUUGCUGGGAAAAAUUUAUUAUUAAGAUCCCAAAUCAAUUGACCAUUCUUAUCUAGAUAGGAAUAGGAUGGAAGGUUGCAGAAAGAGUAGGAAGAUGGGGUUUCACCUAUGUAUACACACUAUAUAUAAGUGGAGGGGGUUUGGGGGGGUGGGGGGUGGGGGAGGGGGCGGGGAGAGAGAGAGAGAGAGCACAGAAGAAGAGCAACUCCGCUGUUGUUGUAUGUAAAUGAUAAAAUCUCGUUUAUACGUCUCCUUUGUAACUUGAAUAUAUACUCUCUCAACCAAUUUAUACAACAACAAACGUGUAAGAUUGGUUCCUGGAGCAAUUUCGGAUAUUGAAUUCUAAACUAAUUGCGUAUUUUGUUGAGUUAUCAAAAAUUUCCCCUCCCCUUAUUGUGAAGCCGAGAAAUUGUUGGAAGUGACUUUUAUACUGUCACAUGGUGUUACCAGUUCACUGAUGUUAUGGUGGUACUGCUUAAAAGGGUGGCGUUUCGACAAAAUCCUUAGCUCGCGAGCUCACAAUGCACCCCGUCCAUAAGUCAUUCGGAGUUUGGACGGAACGAUGAGGUUCGCUACUACCUCCGUACAAAAAACCUUCAACAACUUCCCGUUCAUUGUAUUCUCCAUUAAAUUCCAGGCCAGGGGUUCCACCUCCAUCUCAUAGAGAUUAUCAUCACCUGUUGUUUCUGUGAAUAAUGUAAAUUUCUUACCAAAACAUUUGUAAUAUUGUGCCAAUUAUAUUAUAUAUUUGCAGGAUGCAUAGCAAUUUGGUGUCAGUAAAACUUUGUCUGCCGCAUAUUUGAUCAUGUUUUAACUUCGGAAUUUCAUGGUCUUGUUAAUUUUGACGGAUUUUGAAAGGCUUUUAAAACAAAUUAGAAUCAAACUUUCGAAUUUACUACCCCAAACAAAUUGCACUGCAAAUUACCAUAAUCAGAAUUCAUCAGGUCAUGUACGUACUACAUAACAUUUACUUAGGAUAUGAAAUGGUGAGAUCGAUAAAUUCGAAAUCAUCAUUAUAUUGUUGUUCUUAUUACAUUAAUAUAGAUAUAUGUAGCCACUAUAUAUACCUAUUAGAGUGAAUACGAUACCAAUGCCCCACAAUUUGUUGUCCUGACACAAUCGACCGGAUUCGCUGCGUUGUAGUCAAAACAGAUGACGACUUCCUGCAGAUACGCGAUCCCCCCGUCCUUCUUGCACAUAAGAAGAGGUGUUUUCCCUCCUAUAGUCCGUCGAAUGGCCGAUUCAAGGUCGAUGUAAUGAUAUUGAUAUCCUGGUACAAUCCCAGUUGUUUGAGAAAAUAGAUGUUGUGCAUUGUAGGUCAACCAUAAUCUAUGAGCUUCGUGGAAGUAUUGUGUCUGGGAAAAUUUAUUGUCCGAGCACCUGCCGUGCUUGUUGUACUCAUGCGCCCAGAAAUCCAUAUUUGUCCGUCUAUUGUUGAAGCUGGGCCAGGAAUUGGACAAAAGUAAUUGCAGAUUAUGAUCAGCAAUCAUCUGAAGCACAAAGACGAGAAGUUACAAGCAUUUCAGAGAGCUGCAGGAGAAAAAAACAAACUGAAAUGAGUAUAUAUAUUCAAUGUGUACCUGAUUUCUGUUGAAUAGGGUGCCAGCGCAGAGUAUAGGUGCAGAUGGAUCGGUAAAGUUGCUCGGCCAGAGGCCGUGUGUCGUAAAGGUAUGCCGUAGAACUUGUUGGUUUCCACAAAUUCCAUUCCCAAGGCAGAAGACGUAUUGGAAGAUAUCAUAUGGUGUGGCAGCAUUGCUCUUUCCGACAUAAGUGACGAAGCAAAGAGCGAUGACAACGAGAACAUGUUGUGCGGAAGCGUCAAAUGUGAAACCAAUAAACUACAACGGCAAAAUAUGAUAAACUACAAUGGCAAAAUAUGAUAAGACAAAUAAUCUAAAUAACACAAGGAUUUAUACUGGUUCGGCGUAAGCCUACGUCCAGUUCCGAGACGGCGAGGAAAUUCCACUAAUAUCAAAAGGAGAUUACAAAUAGAGUUCAACACUCAAACCCAAAUCCCACAUACACCCAAUAGCUUUCACUCAUAUAAAGAACAAAUAGAGAAGAAGAAACACAUACCAAAUCCUUCUCUCCCAAAAGCCACAAAAUGUAGCAAUAUAUCUUUGAAUGAAUGAUUGCACAAAUGGAGAACAGUAAAACAGCAGCACUCAAUUUUCUUCUCUAUCGGCUGCUCUCUGUUUUCUGCUAUAUGCUGCCGCUGAGUUUCUGCUCUCUUUUUUCUGCUAUCUGCUGCCGCUGAGUUUCUGCUCUCUUUACUGACCAAAAGGCAUGAAUUGCCUUAUAUAAGGCUGGUGCCUUUUAAUUAAACCCUAGCUGCCAUGUGGCUUUCAAAUGGGUAACAAAAGGCCAAACCUAUUUGGGUUUGAGACAAAAAACUAAAGGCCCAAGAAGUAUUGAGCCACAAAAUCCAACAGAACAAUCUUGAAGAAGUGCAUGGUUGUCAAGCAAUUAUCAAAAGAACAAAGGGAGGGAGGGAGGAUGGGAUGAGAAAUAACAAGGAAAGCUAAAGAGUGAAUGAAGUGUGAAUUUUCAAAGAAAUGAAGAGGUGUUUAAAUAGUUAGAGUUGAGGUUAAGGGUAGGGUUUGGAGAAAUUAAUUAAGGUGAAGCUAACUAGCAAAGAUGAUAAUAAUUAAGGUCAAGUAAGUGUGAACAGAUCCUGAACUAGGGAAUGCCUCUUUCUUGUUAUGCAAGGCUUUGCAUUCUCAUAUGCAUGCUAUAAAGGGUGGUAACCGUGUAGUGGUUGAUUCAUCAACAACCCAAUCAACCCAAUUAUAGCGGUUCCUCAUAUAUCAGAUUCAGACCCCAAGCAAGCUAAUAGUCUCAAUUUUUAGAUUAUAAUUCUAUUUGAGAAAGCCAUUCAGGACCACGCUAGCUAAAUAUGGUUCCAAUCGAAUAUAAACAGAAACGAUUUGGACAUUGUUUAUGUAUCUUAUCUUGUAAAUUGAAGUUUCAACCACUACCUUCUAGCAGUGGUAAUUCUUAUCUUUGAAAUUUUGGAGCUCUCCUCUCCUCUUCAUGGUUUCUAUUCAACUUACUUAUCCCGGUUGCAGAUAAUUAAUUAACUUGUGGAUUAAGUAAAUAGCUAUUUCAAUUUGCUGCUACUCACCCUGGAGCUAGCCUUCGGACCGGGGAAAUCAUAUUGUCCUAUAGACACCCGCUUCGUCGCUGCAAGGCGACACCGCAGGGUGGAUAUCUGCGGGUACUCAUCAUUUCAUUUCAUGGUUGUAUUGCUUCACAUUUGCAGAUUGUUAACACAACAUGCCUUCUGUUUAGUUAAUUCAUUAAUCAAACAUGAUCAAAUAUACAACAUACAAAUUGUUAGAAUUGAGGUCAAGUGUAGAGUGUAGAGAAAGAUUAAGUUGAAGCUAGCUAGCAAAGGUGAUAAUAAUUAAGGUCAAGUGAGUGUGAACACAUUCGGAAUUAGGGAAUGCAUCUUUCUUGUUGCCCACGGCAAUGCGUUCUCAUGCUAUAAAGGGUAGUAACUGUGUAGUGGACGAUUCAUCAUCAACCCAAUUAUAUAAAGUGGUUCAUCAUAUAUCAGAUUCAAACCCUAAGCUAGCUAGUAGUCCAAAUUUUAGAUUAUAAUUCUGUUUCAAAAAUCCAUUCAGGACAACGCUAGCUAAACAUGGUUCCGAACGAAAAAAUACAGAAACGAUUUAGGCAUUGCUUGCGUAUCUCAUCUUGUAAAAACGUACAACUUACAAUACACUUAAUUUCGAACAUUGUUUGAGUAUCUCAUCUUCUUCGUUGAAAGGCAACACCGCAGGGUGGAUAUCUGCGGGUAGCCAUCAUUUCGUUUCUUGGUUGUAUUGCUUCAUAUACUCGUAAAUUUUUAUCGACUCCAAGUUUCUUAAAGACAUCCAUAAUUUGAACAACAAAAGGAUUUCAUUACUUUCGAUAUCUACGUACACAUGUACUUGUUGUUGCCUUCCGUGACCGAAACCAUACUCUUCACAUAUACAACGGGCGAAUGAUUUGCUUUGCACAGUGGCAAAUAAUACGGUUGCGGAGGAAAAAUGGGAUUGAUCCUUACAGCACUUUGAAUGGGAAGAUUUUUAAGCUUCUUAGUACGGAAGUUAUAGCAGACUAUGCCUCCAUUUUCCUCUACUGUAAGAACCUCUUCGCUUUUCCACAUUGGCAAGCCUCCAUUUCCCUCUACUGUAAGAACCUCGUCGCUUUUCCACAUUGCCAAUGUGGAGUACAGGGGCAAGAGGGACCUUGAGAAUGAUGGGAUCUUGGCAGCAAAGUGUUUUGUCCAAACACCACCCGCAUUUUUCGGACCACCACCAGAAUCAUCAUCCAUUAGCCACAUUUCAAAGGGUGGUGUAUCACCAUCUUCAAAGGUAUUACAAUUCAAGCGAAAGAGAGCGAUGGAUUCAUUCCACACCUUAAGACGCAUUUCAAUACCAAAUCCUUCGAAAUUGUUGAACUCUACCAUCUCAUGUGGUAACAGUAUGUCAUGAAACACCUCACGACUCAUGUCAAACCAAACGAUCACUCGCCUAAUUUUUUUCUUGCUCGGGAUAGGUGACAUCAUAGCUAUCGGCAAAUUCCUUUUGUUGCUCACUUCCUAUCCAAUAACACAUCCCCUUGAAGUACACCUGAAAAGUUUCAGGCCAAAGGAAAGUAGUUUCCGUUUCUAAAGAAUAAGGCUCGAUCUCCCUCCAAGAAUUAGUUCCUAGGGUAUACACUACUACCUUGGGAGGAUGAAUAAUCAAAUGUUCUGUGCCGCCAUGCAAUUCUGAACCAGAAAAUCCAAUUUUGACAACUUUGUAAUCUUUAGAUUUAGGAUCAUAGCCUAAUCCCAAAACAUCGUUGAACCGAUUUGUUAGUGGCAUGUAAGGCAUAUCCAACCACCAAGGAUGAGGAUCCCUAAAGGAUGCUUCGUCGAACCAAUCUGGACUGUAUGUCUCCGAGGGAAGGACCCUGAAUUCCUGAAUUGCCGGAUUCCACAAAAGCACCUUAGUAGAAUUAGGACGAGCUAGACAAAUGAUCCCAUCACAAUGACCUAUAACAUGAAAUGAUUGAUCAUCUCCAAUCUCCAGACUCAUAGAAAGAGGAAUAUUGACGUCCUCGAUCCCAGAAAGAGUGCUACACUUGUGCACACCACCAUCGUCAUCAUCAACAAUGACAUUGUCAAAAGUAAGUACUGAGAAUACGGAUUGAAAUUUGUCCCCAUUUGGGUCCUCCGUAGAAGGGACUAACAUUCGCUUCAGAAGGACACGAGUGGACUGAUCGUCCAGCAAGGAAUGGGAGAGGUGCUUGUCGACGAACCUGGGGUCGUUGAUGAGAGCAUGCCACCAUUUAGCGACGCACUUGAAUCGCAUCAGAGAUUUCGGAGGCAGAGUUGACAGAAUAUUCACCAACAAAUCUUGUCCGAUUUUGGAUGUUUUGUUCGUCAUUUGUGCAAUGUCAAUUAUGGACCUCACCCUUGUUCUACGAUACACACAAAGACCAACACAACAAGAUCAGAAGAUUCCACAAUUACACAUUCUCUCUAAUUAAGCAUAUUCUCAAAAGCUCAUCAUCAUCUGGCAUUGCUAUUUCUUGUUAAAAAUAAAAAAAAAACUCAUUGAUACAUUCAAAAAUUUAGCCCUACUGAAAAUGCCAAUUGAAAUUCAAAAGCGAAAUAAGAAUCGAAGCAAAAAAAGUAUCCUUCUUUCAUUUAAAAAAAAAUAUAAAAACUGAAAUUGAAUAAUAAAAAGUUAGAAAUGAGGUUACCUUGUUGUAGACUAGGCAGUAGGAAGAGGAAGAGACCGAAGCAGAAGCAGCGCUGUGAGUGAGAGGGAAAGGGGCAGACUCGGCGCAGAAAAUGUAUUUUCUGCGUUUUGUUCGUGCAGCUGCGUGCGGUAAUGCGAUGGCAGAGAGGGGUUUUUAUUUUGAUUCUUGUGCGACCGUUUUUCAACACCCUCCCAAUUUUACGAACUUACCCUCCCAAAUUCGGCUGCAGUUUGCUGUUCUCUUAACUUUUUAACAGAUGUCUAUAAACUUAACUUUUAAUUUAACGGUGCUAUCUUUUCAAAAGACUAAUAUAACAAAUAAAAAGAAAUAAAAGAAAAACAAAAGGUGCCUAACUCUCCACCUACCCAAUUACGCUAUUUAAUUGGUGUUAUCACUGUUUAAUUUAACGAUGUUAUCUUUUAAGGGGAUGCUGUUGUUUUUUUUUAAUUUUUAAUUUUUUUUAAAUGUUAACACUGUUGAAUUGGUAUUAAGUUGAAGCAUGUGUCACUAAGUUAGAAAGAAGACAUGACGAAGACACUAGUUUAUGGACAUCAGACUCCUGGGCCUCAAUUUGUAAAUCAGAUUAAUAGUCUCCGUGGUGAUAGAGUAUUCGGAGGAAAGUCUAUGUAGUAAAAAGAUUGCCGAGCUCUUCCAGUGGCUCUACUCUAAGCCCAGCCGUGAUGCCUGCUCCCUCGUUUGCAAGCGCUAGCUCGCCUUCGAGUGCCUCAGCAGCACCGCCCUUUGCAUUGGCGCCACGGGUAGCCCGGACCUUGUCGUCGGCCUCCUCGCUGCAAAUUCCACAACGUCCGCACGAUUCACAUUGACGAGCACCUUAACCUUUCAUCGAUGAGGCUGCAUUCUGCCAAUGGCUUUGACGACGACGUGCUUGAUUUGAACACUACCCCAAACUUUUUUUGUUUUGAACAAAUGAUAUUAUCUACACCAGUGAUGAUUACAACCACCGGAGUUUAUCUUUUAUUGACCCUAAAAACUAUUUGGGCCUAAACACCUUCCCAUGUGUGCCUUUUAGCCACCAACAUAAUCCAUCAGCUAGCUUGAUUUGCCCUUCAUAGUAGUUGUUUUUGUUGUUUAGUUAAGGAUUUCUAGAAAUCAGAAACUUUUGUUUUUUUUUUGUUCCCUCAUUUCUGGCUUGUUAAUACAAGCUAUCGUUGCAUAUAAAAAUAAAAUAAAAAGGACGUAGCCUUAUGCCAACCAUAUUUUUUUUUAAAUUAUUAUUAUUUGUCACAUCCCAGCCCGAGCCCUCACCACAUCUCGGGCUCGACUCCACUGUAGCACAAUAUUAUUCGUUUUGGGCCCUGAUCACACCCUCAAGGUUUUGUUUUUGGGAACUCACACGAGAACUUCCCAGUGGGUCACCCAUCAUGGGAUUCCUUUUGCGCGAACUCGCUGAACUUUGGAGUUUCGAUGAAACCCGAAGCCAGUGAGCUCCCAAAAUGCCUCGUGCUAGGUAGAGAUGAGAAUAUACAUAUAAGGCUUGCAGGAUCCAUUCCUUGGGCGAUGUGGGAUGUUACAAUCCACCCCCCUUAGUGGCCCGACAUCCUUGUCGGUACACUUCCGGCCAGGGAUUGGUUCUGAUACCAAAUUGUCACAUCCCGGCCUGGGCCCCCACCACCACAUCCCGGGCUCAACUUCACGGUAGCACGAUACUGUCCGCUUUGGGCCUCGACCACGCCCUCACGAUUUUGUUUUUGGGAACGAGAACUUCCCAGUGGGUUACCCAUCCUAGGAUUGCUCUCGCGUGAACUCGCUUAACUUCGAAGUUCCGAUAGAACCCGAAGCCAAUGAGCUCCCAAAAUGCCUCGUGUUAGGUAGAGAUGAGAAUAUACAUAUAAGGCUUAGAGGAUCCAUUCCCCUGGGCGAUGUGGGAUGUUACAUUAUUAAAUGGAUGAUUUAAAACUUUUAUAAUAACUUAGAUGAGGAGGGAUGUUUGAACUUGACACGCAAGGUAGAAAUCAACUUCCAAUCCACUAGGAUAUUGGACUACAUGCAUUAUGCCCAACCAUAUACAUAUCAAGGAUUGGUAGCCUUACUCGAUAAUUUCCUGUAAAACGGUCUUUGAAUCUCAAAAAUUGCUAAAAUUUAUUUAUUUUAAUACAUUCGAUAUUUUCUAUACUAAAGGAUCGAAGAAUGGCCAAACCUCACAGUGGCUAGUAAUAUUGCUUUUGUUUGAAUUCGCCUUUAGUCACAUGUAUAAGGAAAUUUAAAUUUUGCUCAUUCACUAAUCACCCGAGAAUCAUAUUCAUAAAGUAAUUAUCCAAAAUUUAAAACAAAACACCAAUAAAUAAUCCAAAUACAUAGAAAAAGAGUAAUGCUAGGAAGGCUAAAUUUGUAGACAAAAUUUGCAAACCAAAUUAUGUGUCACCAAUAAGGAAUGAUUACGUUCAUCCAUGUUUAAUUAAUGAUCUAAUCAACAACUUCGAUGUCAUUUAAUUCAUAAAAUUGUCUUACUCCAUAGAAAAUUGUUCAAAAACUUGAACCAAAUAUUAAGAGGGCGUUUAGCCACUAGGGGGAACUCAGACACAUGUUGGCCCUUGUUUAAAAGUUCUAAUCUUCCAUCGGUGUAGAUGACUUUUGAAAAUCAAAAAACUACACAGUGGUAUCUUCGGGAUUAUCAACUUGAACAAAGUUAGUGUGUAUGACUUUACGACGUGAAUGAUACUUAGCAACAACAUCAACAAGUGCUUGACAAAUGCAUGACCAAUAAUCCUUGGAACCACAAUGAUAACAUAUGUCUAUUUCUAUGGUGGUUGUGCCUUACCUUUAUUCUUGAAGUUGAAAGUCUUGAGAUCUAGAGAAUCGCGCUUUGAAACCACAACUGUAACACAUGUCUAUUGGACCAGAAAAGUGUGGCAAGCGUUGUUCGUUAUGGGAAGCUGAGAUAUCCACCAACACAUGAAGCCACAGGGUAUUCUCUUGUUUACAAUCAGCUCUCCCCUUUUGAAGUCCAAAAUUAUACUUCCGGAAUCAUCCACCAUGUUCGUCUCACAAGUUUGAUUUCGUUUGCUUCUUAUUUUCUUCAAAGUUUCAAUGGAGAAUUACAAAGUUGGGUUUUGCUGAAAUGACUGAACUUUUAAAUCCCCCAAACAUAAGUUGUGAUGGAAUGUGGUUCUUCUGAUAAGUUGGUGAUCUAAUUGUUGUUUCGAUGUAGGGUUGAAACUGAAUACACUGUACUUUUAUCGAUGCGGGGAUCCUUCUAUACAUGCAAUGAGUCAAAUCCACCAUUUCAGGACUAUCCCAGUUUCUGGUCCUCGGAGCUACCCUGAGAGAAUAGCGGUUAUGGGAGACCUUGGCCUUACUUACAACACAACUACCACAAUAAGUCACUUGAAAAGUAACAAUCCUGAUCUUGUUCUAUUGAUUGGUGAUGUUACUUAUGCAAACCUCUACCUCACAAAUGGAACUGGCUCUGACUGCUAUUCUUGCUCAUUUCCAAACUCUCCAAUACAUGAGACCUAUCAGCCUCGAUGGGAUUACUGGGGAUGGUUAAAACAUAAAUUGCUUUAUUUCUAUCGCAUACAAUGGCUGCUGUAAAUUAUGGCAUAGAACUUGUUUUCUUAUGUUGUCAUUGCUGGGUAAUUUGUGUAGGUAUAUGCAGAGUUUAGUGUCCAAAGUUCCAAUAAUGGUUGUUGAAGGGAACCAUGAAAUAGAAGAACAGGCUGAAAAUAAGACUUUUGAGGCUUAUAGUUCUCGUUUGAGAAAACAAAUUUAAUGUGAAAUUAAUUGGUACUUGGUUCCCUCAUUGCUAAAACACAUAAUACAAAUCUUAUUUGAAACGCUAUCAGAAACAAUGACCUUAUCUUGAAACUCGUAUCACAACAGUACCAUUUGGUUCCGAUCCCAAGCAUGUUUUUAUUAAGUUGUCCUUGGUGUCUAUGAAUGACGAACAAUUUUCCUCAUUGUAAUUAAUUAUCUUUUUGCUUUAAAGUGCACUGAAUAUUCUUCAAUUUUCUUGAAUAAAACAAUAGGUUCAUGCCUACAAGAGAUCGAAUCGAGAUUAUGAUUACAACUUAGAUUCCUGUGGUCCUGUGUAUCUCACCGUUGGUGACGGGGGUAAUCGGGAGAAGAUGGCAGUUCAACAUGCUGACGAACCUGGUCAUUGCCCAGAGCCAUCAACUACUCCUGAUCAACACCUAGGUGCUGGUGCCUUUUGUGUAGAGAAAUUUACCUCCGGCCCAGCAGCAGGUAAAUUUUGUUGGGAUCGGCAACCGAAUUACAGUGCUUUCAGAGAAAGCAGCUUUGGCCAUGGGAUCCUUGAGGUACUCCUUUUUGUGUUUUUAUGUUUGGCAUAUAUCCAGUCUGACAAUGCAUUCAAUUGUCUAUAAACGUUAUAACUUAAUAUGUACGACCCUAAACUACAUAUGAUACAACUUGAAAAUGAUUGAUGGAAAGAUGAGCAUGUGCUUGACAGUCAAUGUUAUGGAACCAGUUUAAAUCAUUUUUACCACUCCACUGCAAUGUUGAUAGAGUUUGUGAUUUUAUAUGGUUUUGUGAUUUUAUGAAGUAUCAAAGCACGAAAUAAAAAAAAUAAAAAAUCAAUGAGAUUAUGAUCUCUGCUCAGAAAGCAGGAAGGAAUGAAGGUGCGAAGAAGGUGAAGAGAUUUCUCCCUUGGAUUCUAUUAAGCUAUAACUGAAUUGAUACAUCUAGAAGCAUAGAGUGGAGGGUGAGAUAUAGCGUUUGAGGGCACACUCACUCAUCAACCUCACACACUCACGUGUAUAGCACAUGCUCACCUAUAAGUGAGUUGCUAUGCCAUGUGACACAUAUCUAGCCUAUUACCUUUGAUUGAAUUUGAGCCCUACAUUACAAACUAAGAACAAACACCUUGAAUUACAAAGGAAAAUAAGAAACUUAAAUCAGAAAGCAGCUACAAGGCUUAAACAUCAACAUUCUCCUUUAAGCUGGCAGCUGAUUUGACUCCUAACAUCUCUCUAAAAUAGUUGAACUUCUCCUUUGGUAGGGCCUUAGUCAAGAUAUCUGCCAUUUGUUCUUCAGAUUUGCAGUAAACAAGCUAAAGUUCCUUCUCUUAUAUUGCAUCCCUGAUGAAGUGAAAUUUUCUGCUGAUGUGUCUUGUUUUCUGAUGAAACACAUGAUUCUUGACAAUAGCUAUUGCUGAAGUGUUAUCACACAUUAGCAUAGUAGGUUCAACCUGUUCUUCUCCAAAAUCUUAUAGAACAAACCUCAACCACUUGGCCUGAGAUGUUGCUUCUGCAACACUUACAUAUUUAGCUUCUGCAGUGGACAAUGCCACUGUGUUUUGUUUGAUUGAUGCCCAAGAGAACACACCUGAGCCAAGAUUGAAAGCAUACCCUGAUGUGCUUCUCAUGUCAUCAACACUCCCAGCCCAGUCACUGCCACAAUAUCCAAUAAGCAAUGCUGACUUUCGUUUUACAUAUUCAAUGCCAAAGUCCAUAGUACCUUGAAUGUAUUUUAGUACUCUUUUUGCUGUUCUCAUAUGCUUCUUGGUUGGACCAUGCAUGAAUCUUGCCAAGAGACUAGCACCAAACAUUAUGUCUGGUCUAGUGGCAGUGAGGUACAAAAAGCUUCCCACCAAUUUCCUAUACUCAGACUCAUCUGCAGUUUCACUUCCAUCAUUCUUGCAUAGCCUUUCAUUUGCUACAAGUGGUGUUCCCACGAAUUUACAACCCUUUAGUCCAAAUUUCUCCAACAACUUCAUUGCAUAUUUCUUCUGAUGUAUAAAGAUGCUCUUCUUGGUUUGUACAACUCUCAUACCAAGAAAAUGGUGCAGCAAUCCCUAAUCUGUCAUCUCAUAGUGCUGCAUCAUGUCAUUUUUAAAUUUGUCCAGCAAUGUGUCACUACUACCAGUGUACACAAUAUCAUCAACAUACACAGAAACAAUGAGAAUCCCUGAGUUUUCAACCUUAGUGUAUAGAGUGGCUUCACUAGGACUUCUUUUAAAACCAGCCUUGGUGAAGUAGGAAUCAAUUUCAUCAUACCAAGCUCUUGGAACUUGAUUAAGGCCAUAUAAUGCCUUGUUUAACUUGUACACUUUAUCCUCCUUGCCUUCUAUGACAAAACCUUGAGGUUGAUCAACAUAGACUUCCUCCUUGAGUACACCAUUGAGGAAUGCAGACUUUACAUCCAACUAAAAGAGUUGCCAUUCUUUCUGAGCUGCAAGAGCUAUCAAAGUCCUUAUGGUGUCAAGCCUAGCAACUGGUGCAAAAGUCUCAUUGAAGUCAAUUAUUGACUUCUGUGAAUAACCUUUUGCAACCAAUCUAGCUUUGUUUUUCUGAAUGCUUCCAUCAAGAUUCAGUUUUGUUUUGUAUACCCACUUCACACCUAUCAUAGGUUUGCUAGAUGGUCUGUCUACCAGCAUCCAUGUACUAUUCUUUUCAAUCAUGUCUAGCUCAGCUUGCGUAGCUUUCAUCCAAGAUAAAUCUAGAGCAGCCUCUUCAUAGCUUUCAAGUUCCAUAAUGCAAACAUUACACUAUGCAAGAACUUCAUUCAAGGGUCUCCAUUUCUUUGGAGUAAAAUCAUAGCUCUGUGAUAGAUCAAUCUGUGAGCUUGAACCAUCAGCAUUGGAACUCAAACUUUCCUGUGAAAUAUCAGAAGUGAUCUCAGGGAGUAUAAUUUCAUUUGAACUUCUAAUCCUUGAGUUGGUUCAGAUUCUACUAUAUUAGUAGUAAUUGAUGUAUCAAAAUAUUUUUCAGAGCUUACAUUCCAAUCCCAUCUGGGACUCUCAUCAAAUACUACAUCUCUAGACAAUAUAAUUUUAUUAGUGAUAAGAUCAAAUACCCUGUAUCCUUCCUCACUGGUUCCAUACCCCACAAAGACAUAUUUGUGACUGUUGCAUUCAAGCUUGUGUCUAAGAUUCAUGGGAACAUGAACAUAGCACACUGAACCAAAGAUCUUCAAAUGUGCAAUUCCAGGUUUUAUUCCACUAUAGGCUUCAAAAGGAGUCAUUUUAUCCAAAGACCUUGUAGGACACCUGUUGAGGAGAUAUACUGCAAUGUGCACAGCUUCUGUCUAAAACUGGUAUGGCAUGCCUUUUUCAUGUAGCAUAGUUUUUUCCAUUUCCACCACAGUUUUAUUUUUUCUUUCAGACACACCAUUCUGCUGUGGUGUGUAUGACAUGGUUAGUUGCCUUUGAAUACCAGAGACAUUGCAAUAGUCACUGAAUUCAGAAGACAUGAACCACCUCUAUCAUUUUUUAGGUACUUGAUCUUGUGUCCACCCUGCAAUUCUGUCAUUGCAUUGAACCUUUUGAAAUACUCAAAUGGCUAGGAUUUUUAUCUCAGAAAAUAAACCCAUGUCAUUCUAGUACAAUCAUCAAUGAGCAGAAUAAAGUACUUGUUUCCAGCAUUUGAAGCAAUUUGCAUUGGACCACAGAUAUGUAUGUACCAAUUCAAGUGGGAAUUUAGCUCUCCAAGCAAAUUCUCUUGGAAAUUCAUCUCUACGUUGCUUGCCAAGCAUACAUCCUUCACAAACAUUCUUGGAAUCUUCCAAGUGAGGCAGCCCAUGAACCAUUUCUUACUCCCUAAGUUGCAGCAAACUUCUUGUGUUUAAAUGACCAAGCCUCUUGUGCCAAGUCUGAGUACAAUGAGAUACACUAGCUUUCAGUGCUAGUGGUGUAGCAGGCAUCAUGGUUAAGGGAAAACACAUGUUGCCAGUCAUUUGAACCUUAGCAACCAGUCCAUUCAAGUUCUAGCUAUCAUAAAUACAAACUACAUUACCACCAAAUAGUAGAUAGUAACCAUGUUUCAACAUUUGCCCCACACUUAGGAGAUUUUCCUCCAAGCCAGGCACCAUCAUCACUUCUUGUAUGUGUUUUCUUCCCAUCUUAGUUUCAAUGACAAGUGUACCUAUUCCUGCUACACUCACAACUUCACCAGUUCCCAUUUUUACUCUUGCAUUCAGGUUUCUACUCAUAUUCAUCAGCAAGCUUUCAUUCCCUAUCAUGUGGUUGCUGCAACCACUAUCAAUGUACCAAGUAUUAUUGACUUUCACCUGAGUCACAAAAUUGCAAGCAAAGAAUAAGGUUCCCAUAUCAUCAACCUGAUUUGCAUAGUUGGCCUUCUGCACCAUUUUGUUCCCAUUGCAGUUUCUGGUUUCAUGAUCAAAUUUAUUGCAAUUUGUGCAUUUAGGUUUUCCUUCAAACCAGCACUUUCCAUAGUGCAGUUUAUCACAAUGUUUGCAAGCUGUUUUGUUCGAAUCAUGAGAAUUAUUCUGCUUAGAGACAAGGUUGGGCUUGUUAUCCCACUUUUUCCUUUUGUUCUUCCAAUUUUUUCCUGAUUUUUGAGUACCGGAGAACCCACUGGGUUUUUGAAACUUAGACCCAACAUUUAGACUAACAAAUGCCUUUUCAUUAGAGUUUUUAGCAUGCAUAUCUAGCCUUUGUUCAUAACCCUUCAGAGAGGCAACAACUUCUUGGAUUUCAAGGGUUUCAAUAUCCUUUGAUUGUUCAAUCACAGCACAGAUAGAGUCAUAACUUCUAGGCAAGCUUAUAAGUAAUUUUUGAACAACCCUGUCCCUAGAUAGUUCUUCACCAUAACCCCUUAUUUGAUUCAUGAGGUCAAACAAUUUAGUAAGGUAUGUAGAUAAGGAUUCAUCAUCUAUCAUCCUAGUGUACUCAAAUUCUCUGCUUAAACCUUGUAAUUUCACAUUUCUAACCUGUUUGUCAUCUCUGAGUUCUUGCUGUAGAAUAUCCCAAGCUCCCUUGGAGGUUUCUUCGUUAGAGAUCCUGGGGAAAAUCUGAUCAAUGACAGCUCCUUGGAUCAACCCAAGAGCCUUAGCAUCCUUCAUUAUGAUCUCCACAACGUUUGGAGUUUCAGUAGCUGCAUCAUUCUCCUUCUUUUCAUCAGCUACCAUAACCACAAUAGAUGAUUAUGGGAUAGUAAACCCAGUCUCUACGAGCUCCCACAGUCCAUGAGACUAGAGGAUGGUUCGCAUUCUGAUAUUCUAGAAUUCAUAGUUCUCACCAUUGAAAAUGGGAGUGCGAAGCUCAGAACUCGUUGUUCUAGCCAUAUUAGACUCAGAUCUUCGAUUUUCACAGAUUUUCAAAGCGCGAUUCUUCAGCAAUGAAGCUUAGGGAAAACAAUUCAUUGAAGAACACAGAAAUCACAUAUUCAUGCCCAGAUUAAAGCGAUGAACCUGGCUCUGAGGCCAUGAUAGAGUUUGUGAUUUUAUAUGGGUUUGUGAUUUUAUGAAGUAUCAAAGCAUGAAAUCAAAAAGAAAUCAAUGAGAUUAUGAUAUCUGCUCAGAAAGCAUGAAGGAAUGAAGGUACGAAGAAGGUGAAGAGAUUUCUCCCUUGGAUUUUAUUCAGCUAUAACUGAAUUGAUACAUCUAGAAGCAUAGAGUGGAGGGUGAGAUAUAGUCGUUGAGGGCGCACUCACUCAUCCACCUCACACACUCACGUGUAUAGCACAUGCUCACCUGUAAGUGAGAUGGUAUGCCAUGUGACACACAUCUAGCCUAUUAGCUUUGAUUUAAUCUGAGCCCUACAUUACAAACUAAGAACAAACACCUUGAAUUACAAAGGAAAAUAAGAAACUUAAAUCAGAAAGUAGCUGCAAACAUCAACAAAUGUCACGAGAAAAUCACUUCGCACCAAUAUCUGUUUAUAUGGGGUGCGAAAAUCCUGUGACUAACUUGAAUACCCUUGAUCGGUUAUUGAGUAGCAAACAUAUAGAUGUAGGCUAGUAGGCUAGAAGUCUGCUGAGAAUGUAUAUACUAGAAUUAUAGCUCAGUUUCACCACCUGGAUUAUACAUUAACCGUGCAUUUUGAUGUGCAUAACUUGCAGGUGAAGAAUAAGAUUUGGGCUUUGUGGACAUGGUACCGGAACCAGGACUCCGACAAUAAAAUUAGAGAUCGAAUUUAUAUAGUGAGGCAGCCUGAUAAAUGCUGCAUCCGCCAUGCGUUCUAAAGUUGGCUUGCUGGCCUCUAAUUCUCACUGCUGCUUGCUGGGAAAAUUAUUAUUAAGAUACCAACUCAAGUGACCAUUCUUAUCUAGAUAGGAAUAGGACGGAAGGUGCAGAAAGAGUAGGAAGAUGGGGUUUCACCUAUGUAUACACACUACAUAUAUGGGGAGAGGGAGAGAGAAAGAGAGCAGAAGACGAAAAGCAACUCCGUUAUUGUGGUAUGUAGCUGAUAAAAUCUCAUUUAUACAUCUCCAUUGUAACUUGAAUAUAUACUCUCAACCAAUUUAUACAACAAAAAAUGUGUAAGAUUGGUUCCUGGAGCAAUUUCAGAUAUCGAAUUCUGAACUAUUUGCGUAUUUUGUUGAGUUACUGCAAAUUGGUUCAACUGAUGAACCAAAAAUUUCCCCUCCCCCUAUUAUGAAGCCAAAAAAUUGUUGGAAGUGACUUUUAUAUUGUCACUUAGUGUUACAAGUUCACUAAUGUUAUGGUGGCACCGCUUAUAAGGGUGGUGUUUCGACAAAACCCUUAGCUCCCGAGCUCACAAUGCACCCCGCCUAUAAGUCAUUCGGAGUUUGGAAGGAGCAAUGAGGUUUGCUAUAACCUCCGUACAAAAAACCUUCAACAACUUCCCAUACAUUGUAUUCUCCAUUAAAUUCCAGGCCAGGGGUUCCACCUCCAUCUCAUAUAAUUUCUUACCGUCUCUUGUCCAAAACAUUUGUAAUAUUGUGCCAAUUAUGUUAUAUAUUUGCAGGAUGCAUAGCAAUUUGGUGUUAGUAAAACAUUGUCUGCCGCAUAUUUGAUCAUGUUUUAACUUAGGAAUUUCAUGGUCUAGUUAAUUUUGACGAAUUUGAAAGGCUUUUAAAACAAAUUAGAAUCAAACUUUCAAAAUUACUACCCCAAACAAAUUGCACUGCAAAUUACCAUAAUCAGAAUUCAUCAGCUCAUGUACAUACUACAUAACAUUUACUUAGGAUAUGAAAUGGUGAGAUCGAUAAAUUCGAAAUCAUCAUUAUAUUGUUGUUCUUAUUACAUUAAUAUAGAUACAUGUAGCCACUAUAUAUAUACCUAUUAGAGUGAAUAACAUACCAAUGCCAUGCCCCACAAUUUGUUGUCCUGACACAAUCGACCGGAUUCGCCGCGUUGUAGUCAAAACAGAUGACGACUUCCAGCAGAUACACGAUCCCCCCGUCAUACUUGCAACGAAGAAGAGGUAUUUUGUUUUGUAUAGUCCUUUGAAUGGUUGAUUCAAGGUCGAUGUAACGAUAUUGAUAUCCUGGUACAAUCCCAGUUGUUUGAGAAAAUAGAUAUUGUGCAUUGUAGGUAAACUAUAUAAGCUUCAUGGAAGUAUUGUGUCUGGGAAAAUUUAUUGUCCGAGCACCUGCCGUGCUUGUUGUAUUGAUCCUCCCAGAAAUCCAUAUUUGUCUGUCUAAUGUUUAAGGUUGGCCAGGAAUUGGACAAAAGUAAUUGCAGAUAAUGAUCAGCAUUCAUCUGAAGCACAAAGAUGAGAAGUUACAAGCAUUUCAGAGAGCUGCAGGAGAAAAAACAAGGGAACUGAAAUGAGUGUGUGUAUAUAUAUAUAUUCGAUGUGUACCUCAUUUCUGUUGAAUACGGUACCAGCGCAGUGUAUUGUACAUCAGACUCCUGGCCCUCAAUUUGUAAAUCAGAUUAAUAGUUUCCAUGGUGAUAGAGUAUUCGGAGGAAAGUCUAAGUAGUAAAAAGAUCGCCGAGGUCUUCCGGCGGCUCGCCUCCAAGCCCAGCCUUGAUGCCAGCUCCCUCUUCUGCAAGCGCUAACUCGCCCUUGAGCGCCUCAGCAGCAUCGCCCUUUGCAUCGGUGCCACCGGCAGCCCGGACCUCGUCGUCGGCCUCCUUGCUUCCAAUUCCGCAAUGUCUGUGCCGUUCACAUUGACGAGCACCUUAACCUUUCGUCGGUGAGGCUGCAUUCUGUUUGAGAAAAUGAAUUUCAUUGAUUAAGAGAAUAAAAUUACAAUGUUGUGGUGUGUGUGUGUGUGUGUGUAUAUGUGUGUGUGUAUAUAUAUAUAUAUAUAUGUAUGGAUACCCUCUACACUCUCACAUAACUCUAACCUUCUAAACACCUAGCCACCUAUACAACAAUCUCAACUAAUCACUAGUCUAAUACAACAAACUAACUAGCUCUAAGUUUUAUCACCAAUUGAAUCUUUAACAAUAUUAUCCUUAACAUCCCCUCCUCAAACUGAACUGAGGAGUUCGAAGGGACAAUUUGGAUCUUAAGAGCUUAAACCAGUCUUUGGAAAGAGAUUUUGUGCAGAUAUAUGCAAUUAAGUUCCCCGACGCGACUUCGAAUGAUUUUGUAACUUUUUCGAUUUGGGUAAGCCUCAAAACACUCCAAAUGUUUCUCUUUUCGUCCCUAUAGUUCUUUUAUGACCACGUUGUUGUGUUUUGGACAUCAAAAUAUGAAGAAACACCUCGGAGGACUAUAUUCCAUGUUUUCUGGCGAGGUGCUGGAACUUGCAGACGUUUUCUGAUCAUAUUUCAGCCACGAGGAAGGUAUAUUUCGACUCCUUGCUUCACGGGCUUCAUUUUGGUAUUUUAGUUCACUUGUUUUGACUAAGUUUCGAGCUCCAUCAAAGCUCGGGCAUUCUCUAGCCAAUUUUUGGCCUUCUUAUUCCUUUGGUCCGAUGACCCACAACCUUAGACCCAAAACCCUUUUUACCCAGCCCAUUUGGGUAGCCCAAUCCCUUAUCCUUUAAACCAAAUGACCCAAUUAAAUAAUCGGGCUUUCAAGCCCAAAACCCUAGUCUAACUAGGCCCUUAGGCCGUGCACCUAGGCCCAGGCCCAUCGCCAAUCCAGCCCAUUAAACCCAAACCCUUGACCAUUUGAAACCAGGCUUUUGGGCCUAGGUCCCUUCAGCCUAAACCCACCAGCCCAACUCGGAUGGAAUAUUCUUUGGAAUAUUCCGUCAGAGAAUAUUCUGUCAAGGAAUAUUCUUUGGAAUAUUCUUAGUGUUGACUUUUUAUUGACUUUUUCGAAAUUUACCCGGAACCCUUUUUAGGGUAAUUCGACGUCCUGAAUCCAUUUUAGACAUCCGUUUUCCCAAAUUCAAUCAUUUGAAUAAAGUUUUAUUAAUUGGACCAUUUAUGUGCUUAUGUGCAAUUAUUUACAGCGAUUCCGUCAUUUUUAUUUCAUAUGGCUCUACAACGACGGAGUAUCUGUGAGUGGACUCCUUCUAAAAUGCAUGUUUUAAUACUAGAAAUGCAUACAUAAAAAGCCUAAUUUAAUUAUUACUUUUUAUGAAACGUUUUUAUGAGAUAUUAUGCUUACUGAGAAUAUUUUGAAUUACCAUAUUUUAUCGAACUCAUGUUCUAUGUGGUAUAGAUGAUGGAUGACUUUAUACUGCUUAUGAGCAUGCUUUUGCACACUUCUUUAUAGUAUAGGUGAUGGAUGACUUUAUACUAUGAAGAUGUUUUUAAGAUAUAUAUAUACCUAUGUUUGGAAAGUCUAUGUUCAAUGGUUUUGUGCUUAUCUAGUGGUCACUAUACCGCCACGGGCGAGGAUUAUGGUUGUUGGCUGUGGGCCGGGAGAAAUAAUCUCUGGCUUCGGGCCGAGAGACAUGGAGUUGGCAUUGGGCCAGGAGAAAUAAUCUUUGGCUACGGGCACAGAGACAUAAAAGCUGGCAUUGGGUCGGGAUAUUAUUAUUGGAUACCAUUAUGUAUCACACUAUUUACGAGAUAUGUUUUAUGAAGGUUUUAUGGCAUGCUAGGGUUUUCGGAAAACCUAUUACAUAUUAUACUAUUGAAUUUCCAUAAAACUUUGGUGGUUAGUAUGUUGAUAACUGUUUUAGUCUAUAUAUAUAUAUAUAUAUAUAUAUAUAUAUAUCAACUUGGUCCACUCAUGUUUGUUUUGCGCCCCCUCAGGACUUAGAAUUGAGGUGUACAAUCCCGACGUCAAGGCACUUCCGAUUCGGCAGCUUUGAGGCCUCUCGGUGUAGAACCCAUUCCUUUGCUCCUUCAAUGUUAUAUUUUUUCUUUAGUGUUCUAGAUUAGUUGUAUGCUCUGAACACGUUCCUCAUUUGCAUAUUAAUUAUAAUUAAAUUUAUAAGUCUUAUAUAUUUCGGGUUCUCAUGCAUUCUAAUAUGGCUUCGUCACCUUAGGGUGUUGGCCAACACGUUCCUACCCUGGUGUUCGGGGAAUAUCAGGGUUGGGCGUGUCAACAUGGAAGAUGGAAACUAAUAUCAGCAAGUAACUGACAUAUCCAUGUAAUUUCAGCUGCAGUAUUAGCUAGAGAUCGAUACUCUGCCUCUAUUGAAGAACGAGCCACUAUUGGUUACUCCUUAGCACUCCAAUUGAUGAUAGAUGAACCCAGAAAAAUACAAUAACUGCCAGUUGAUCUUCGAUCAAGUGUGCAACCUGCCUAGUCAGCAUCUAAGAAGGCUUUGAGAGAUGGAACAGAGACAGAUUAUGUAAACCAAAGACCAAUGUCAAUGGAACCCUUAAGAUAUCGAAUGAUCAUUUUGACAGCUUAAAAAUGAGACUGCCUUGGAUUGUGCAUGAAUUGACAAACAAGAUUGACUACAAAUCAUAAAUCUGACCGAGUCCAAGUAAGAUAUUGUAAUACACCAACCAAAGAUCGAUAUUCUGUAGGAUUAUCAAGCAAUGGAGAAGAAUGAUCCAACUUAGAUGUAUUGAGUGGGGUAACACAUGGUUUUGCUCUAGCCAUGUUAGUCUUCUUUAACAGAUCCAAGAUAUACUUGGUUUGUGAAAUAAAGAUGCCUUUGGAGGAUCGCUUGACUUCAAUUCCCAGAAAAUAAUGAAGUGCACCAAGGUCUUUGAUGAGAAAGAGAGAGCUAAGUUGAGAAAUUACAUGUUUCCAAGCUGCUACAGAUGGCCCUGUGACAAUAAUGUCAUCAACAUAUAUCAGAACAAAGACCAUAAGAUCCCUUUUGACAAACAAUGAAUGAUCUGAUUUAGAACUAGUGAAGCCAAGAGUAUGCAAUGCGCCAUGGAAUUUUUCAUACCAGGCUCUGGGAGCCUGUUUAAAACCAUAUAGGGAUUUAUGCAGUUGACAAACAUGAGUAUGGUGAAUAACAUCUUCAAAACCAGGCGGAUGUUGCAUAUAAACAGAUUUAGACAAUGUCCCAUGCAGAAAAGCAUUGCUUUCAUCUAGUUGACUGAGACUCCAAUCAAAUUGGGCAGCAAGAGUGAGUAUGAGUCGAAUUGUCACAGGCUUGGCUACUGGACUAAAAGUCUCAGUAUAAUUAAGUCCUUCUUGCUGAUGAAAACCUUUGGCAACUAAGAAAACUUUGUACUUAUCUAUGGUACCAUCAGGUUUUCUUUUAAUCCUGAAAACCCAUUUACAUCCUACAAUGUUUUGAUGAGCAGUUUUGGGUACUAAAGACCAAGUACCAGUUUGUUGGGAGGCAAGAAACUCAUCCUGCAUUGCCUUAACCCAAUGUGGAUAUUUAGAAGCUUGGAGAUGUGUAGUGGGGACAAAUUCAUAUGAAAAUUAAGAAAGGAGAGGAUGUUUGCUUGCAGAAAAGGCUUUUGGUUUGUAAAUACCAGAUUUGGACCUGGUUUGCAUAAGGUGAGUAUUAGUAGGAACUGAGUGAGAUGUAGGUAUAAGAGAUAUAGGUAUAGGGGCUAUUGGAGAAGAGCUACUUGGAAAUAUAUGAGAUGGAGAUGAUGGUAUAGGGGAAUGAAUAUGUGGUUGAGUGAAUGUGAGGUGAAUGGGAAUGGUAUUGAGAGGUGAAGAUGCUGCUGAGGGAAAAGAGCACUGUGAAACUGCAAUAGUGUUAAAGGGAAAACUGCCUUCAUCAAAGAUCACAUUUCUGAGAUGUAUAACUUGUUGGUAGUAAGAUCCAAACAUUUGUAACCUUUUUGGUUAAGGCUGUAAUGAAGGAAUACACAUAACUUUCUUUUGGGAUCCAAUUUAGACUCAGAGUAAGGUUGCAGCCAUGGAAAACAACUACACCCAAAAACCUUCAAGGUGGCAUAGUUAGGUGAUCUGUGGAAAAGACGUUCCCAUGAAGACAAUCUGGAUAAAGUAGGUAAUCUAUUUAUGAGAAACACAACUAUGGAAAAAACAUGAUCCCAAUAGGUGUAAGGGACCUUAGAAACUGUUAAAAAUGUUCUGGCAGUCUCAACUAUGUGUCUGUGCUUGCAAUCAGCACAACCAUUCUGUUGAGGAGUGUAUGGACAACUUAGUUGAUGACUAAUACCAUUUUCAACAAGGAAAUUAGAGAAUUGAGUGCUAAGAUAUUCCCCACCAGAUCUGAUCUGAGAGCAACAAUUUUAGUAUGCAACAAGUUCUCAACAAGACUUUUGAACUUAACAAAAGUAGGAAACACAUUAGAUUUAUAUUGCAAAGGAUAAAGCCAACAAUAUUUUGUAAAAUCAUCUACAAAGAUGACAUAGUAUCUGAAAUUGUUCACAUAAGUGACGGAUGUUGGCCCCCAAACAUCUAUGUGAAGUAGCUCCAAAGGUUUACUGGUAUGACAAGGUACAUAAGCAAAUGGCAAUCUGGAACUUUUGCUUAAGGCACAACCAUUAUAGAAAGACUUAUUAGAACCAUUAGAAAACCAAAUACAAUACUUAGUAGCCAACUUAUUGAGAAUCUUCAUCGAAGGAUGGCCAAGUCUUUGGUGCCAAAUAUUUCUAGAUGUGUUAACAGAAGCAGCAAACACAUUGUGAUUGUGGAUCACAUAACUGGAAGCCUAUAGUUGAAAUAGAUAGAAGCCAUCUCUCACAUGACCUUUAAAGAGCAUCUUUCCAGAAGAAAUAUCCUUCACAGCGAAGUGAUAAGGAUAAAGAUGCAUAGAACACCAAUUAUCAACAAGAAACUGAUUUGCAGAAAGCAUAUUUUGUUUCAAAUCAGGAACAUGCAACACAUUUCGAAGUUGAAAAUUAUGAUGAGGAGUAUGUAAUGCAGAAGAACCAGAGUAGAGAAUGGGCAAACCUUUGAAGAGUGUUGUAAGAAUUGGUCAUGUGAGUACUAGCACUGGAGUCAACAAUCCAAGUAAGUUGAGGAGAAAGUGUGCUUGCAGCCAUAGCAGAAUGAGAAGCAUUGCUGGAAUAAUGUGGAUUCAUGCGCUAGGGACACUCGAUUGCAUCAUGCUCAAACUAGCGAAAAAUUUGGCAUGGAAUCCUCAUUCCAGAGAAAUUGAAGGAUGAUCAACUACCACGGUUGUAACACUGAGAGUUGUUGCGAGAAAAAUUUAGAUGAUAGUUGUUAGAACGGAAGUUGCUUCAUCCUUGGAAGUUUCUAGGGUUGGAGAAACCACGAUCGCCACCAUGACCUUGAGAGAAAUUACGAUCACCACCACGACCUGGAAGAUUAUGUUGAGCAACAAAGGCCUGAGAAUGUGGAGUAUGAAGGAUGCCGGUGGUGGAGUUGUACGCCUGAAUUGGCACUAUCGAAGUAGUUUUCUUCCAAUUUGUUAACUGAAUCUCUAUACUAAGAAGAAGACUAUGCCGCUCAUCAAGUGUGGUGGAACCAAGCUGGAAUUGUAUCGCAUCAACAAAAGAUUCGUACUCUGAUGGUAAAUCGUGAAAUGUGAUAGAGAUUAAUUCAGAAUCCUUAACUGGAGCACCGACAUUGGCAAGAGCAUCAUCGAUCUCUUGAAUUUGUUGAAGAUAUUGAGCAGUUGUGGAAUCGCCCUUUGAAAUGCUGUGUAAACAUGAUCGGAGCUCAUGGAUGUGCCAUUGAGACGCCAUCGCAAGGCGUGACUCCAAUUUUACCCAAAGUUAUCUGGAUGUAGUAACUCUAACAAUGUAAGGAAUGAUCGAUUUAGAAAGCAUGGAAUCGAUCCAGAUGAGGAUGUUCUUAUCAUUCUCGAACCAAGAAACAUAUGCCGGAUUCAGAAUUUGAUUUCCAACAGCAUUAGAGAUGAAUUGAGCUGGAGGAGGCAUCGAUCCAUCAAGAAUUCUAGUGAGAUUAUAGCGACGGAAGAUCGAAGAAAAUAAUGCACUCCAAGUGAGAUAAUUGGUCAGAGUCAGCUUGAUCGGCACCAUGGAUUCGAUAUUCUGGAUCAUGAUUAAAGGUGUGGAGAGAGUAGAACUAGAAUUUGAGAGAAGAUCAGGAUGAAUUUGUGUUGCCGAUUUAGAAGAAGGAGAAGCUGAGGUCGCCAUGGGAGAUAGUUAGGGUUUGGCAGUGAAAGCUUAGGAAGGAAGAAAGCUUAGCGAAGAAGCUGGAGAGGGGAAAGCGUGGAUUGGAUCAAGUCGGUAGACAGAAGGCGGGUGAUACCAUGUUAGAGAAAAUGAAUUUCAUUGAUUAAGAGAAAAAAAAUUACAAUGUUGUGGUGUGUGUGUGUGUGUGUGUGUAUAUACACCCUCACAUAACUCUAACCUUCUAACCACCUUGCCACCUAUACAACAAUCUCAACUAAUUACUAGUCUAAUACAACAACCACAACAAACUAACUAGCUCUAAGUUUUAUCACCAAUUCAAUCUUUAACAAUACCAUCCUUAACACAUUAUGCCAAUGGCUCCGCCGAAAACGUGCUUGAUUUGAACAGCGUAUCAGAUGUCAGUAUGACUGCUAUCAGCAACAGAUUCCCCAAGCUCGAAAAUCUGAGCUUAAUCUGGUGCUCCAAUGCCUCUAGUAUCGGUCUAAUUUUGCUGAUAAGUGUAAACUGUUGAAAUCGUUGGAUUUGAUAGAGUUGAAUUUUAAUGCUUGAAGUCUGCAAUUCUUCGUUUGAAUACUUAACUGGACUAUCAGUGAUCCACAACUCCCUGGUUGGUAGCUACUUGGCAUCCUUCCUGGUAUAGUACCUACGAAGCCCUUUACAGAGAGGCAGAAUGUAUGAGGUAGCAAACAUAUAGAUGUAGGCUAGUAGGCUAGAAGUCUGCUGAGAAUGUAUAUACUUGAAUUACAGCUCAGUUUCACCACCUGGAUUAUACACUAAGCGUGCAUUUUGAUGUGCAUAACUUGCAGGUGAAGAAUGAGACUUGGGCUUUGUAGACAUGGUACCGGAACCAGGACUCCGACAAUAAAAUUGGAGAUCAAAUUUAUAUAGUGAGGCAACCUGAUAAAUGCCGCAUCCGCCAUUUGUUCGAAAGUUGGCUUGCUGACCUCUAAUUCUCACUGCUGCUUGCUGGGAAAAAUUUAUUAUUAAGAUCCCAAAUCAAUUGACCAUUCUUAUCUAGAUAGGAAUAGGAUGGAAGGUUGCAGAAAGAGUAGGAAGAUGGGGUUUCACCUAUGUAUACACACUAUAUAUAUAAGAGGAGGGGGGUUGGGGGGGUGGGGGGUGGGGGAGGGGGCGGGGAGAGAGAGAGAGAGAGCAGAAGAAGAGCAACUCCGCUGUUGUUGUAUGUAAAUGAUAAAAUCUCAUUUAUACGUCUCCUUUGUAACUUGAAUAUAUACUCUCUCAACCAAUUUAUACAACAACAAACGUGUAAGAUUGGUUCCUGGAGCAAUUUCGGAUAUCGAAUUCUAUUAUAUAUUUGCAGGGGUUCCACCUCCAUCUCAUAGAGAUUAUCAUCACCUGUUGUUUCUGUGAAUAAUGUAAUUUCUUACCGUCCCUUGUCCAAAACAUUUGUAAUAUUGUGCCAAUUAUAUUAUAUAUUUGCAGGAUGCAUAGCAAUUUGGUGUCAGUAAAACUUUGUCUGCCGCAUAUUUGAUCAUGUUUUAACUUCGGAAUUUCAUGGUCUAGUUAAUUUUGACGGAUUUUGAAAGGCUUUUAAAACAAA